GUGGAAUCAUCAACUCUAUUUGCUUUUGUGAAUAGAGCUUGGACUUGGAGGUUAAUUGCYGGAUGCAUYAGUGUCUGGCUCCUCUUGAAUAUAUUAGCUUGAACCUUUGUGGAUCAGCUUCGGUGUGAUAAUUGUCUACGCCGUCCUGAGAAGCAUAACUGUGGGUUUUGGCUUCCAAUCGUCCUUCACGGGACAAAUUAUUAUGACCUU
rnacentral:misc_RNA from 1 species